UUGAGGGGAGAGUGUGAUUGGUCCUGGGAACUAUCUGAUCUCAGUAAGAGGACCGUUCUGUAAUGUUCAGACCCUGUUUCUUUCCAGCAGGAGACUUGCAGAGCUUGGAGAGCUGGGCCAGGAUGGAGAGGAGUGAUAAGCCUUGCUCCUGGAGGAACUGUUGAGCUAGCUGCCUGGAAGACAGGGCACGCGUCCAGGCCCGCCACACGCAGGUUGGCCUCCGCAGCUGGUACAGAGAGAAGUCUGGAAUUUCUGUUUGCUGUCAUCUGUGUUUACUGAGUAGACCUUGUGUUGAUUCUGGGACCCAGUGUGUCCGAGGGUUGUGGACUGAACGAAUACCAGGCGCCAGCCAUACAGUGCUGCUCCCGUACCUCUGACCCCACGACAAAGGAAGAGAGGCCCUGAGCUUGGCAGCUUCUUGGAACGUCUCAGAAGAUCUGGAGUCUAGAAGGAGAGAACAGGUUUGCAAGGAAGAGAUUCUGUUACGAGAAUAGAUCUUCAGACUUUUUUCUACACACAGGAAAGGUAACUGUGUGAGGUGAGGAGUGUAUUACAAUUACCUUAAUUGUGAUCAUCAUUUCACAAUGUGUAUGUAUAUCAAAUUGUAUUGCGCACUUUAAUUCUAUACAAUUUUAACAAUUAAAAAGAAAGCUGGGAAAAAAUACAAAUAAAAUGUCAAGCAGAUCCCUUGAUGGGUGGUUCUGUUGAGUUCAGCUUUGUCCUUGCUGACUGUCUGCCUACUGGGUCUGUCAGUUACUAAUAGAAGGAGUGUGGAAAUCCCUCUUGUUAAUAUUUCUCUGCAUUUUUGUCAGUUUUUGCCUCUUGUAUUGUGACGCUUUGUUGUAAAGUGCAUAUAUUUCAAAGAUUAUUGUGUCUUCUCAGAGAAUCGACCCCCCCUUAUUAUGUAACACCCUCUUUAUUCCUUGGAAGUUUCCUUGUUCAAAUGCCUUUUUUGUCUGAAAUUAGUUCCGCUACUCCAGCUUUCUUUUGAUUAGCGCCCCUGGUACCCCUCUCCCCGCUCUUUUACUCUCAAUAUUUGUGUGUUUUUAUAUUUAAGUUGGGUUUCUUAUAGACACCAUAGAGUCCGGUCUAGUUUUUCACCUGCCCUUACAGUGUCUUCUUUUAACUGGCGUCUUUAGAGUGCGCCCGUUUAAAGUGAUUAUUGAUAGUUGGAUUUAUAUCUACCAUGUUUGUCAAAAUUCUGUAUUUGUUGCACUUGUUCUUUGUUUUUUUCUUAAUCUUUCUGUUUCUGCCUUCUCUUCUAAUUGAGCAUUUUUUAUUAUUCCAUUUUCUCUUCUCUCUCAGCGUAUCAGUCAUAUUUCUUUUUAACUUUUUAGUGGUUUCCCUAGACCUAGACUGCGCAACAUAAAUUUACAACUAAUCUAGGUCCGCCUUCAGACAACACUGCACCACUGUCUGGGCAGUGUGGGUGUAACAGAGAACCCCCAGCUCCCCACGCCUAUCCCUUCAUAACACUGCUACCGUCUCUUGCACUGACCUCCGCUAUGAUCACCCGUAUGUUGUGGCUGUUAUUCCUUUGAACAGUCGUCCUUUAGAGUAAAUAAGAAAAACAAAAUAUUGUAUUUUAGUCUUCACUUAUGCCUUCUCUGAUACCUUUCCUUUAUUCAUGUAGACUCAAAUUUCUGACUAGUACCAUGCUUCUUCUCUCUGAAGACCAUCUUUAUCAUUGACUGGUGACAAAAAUUCUCUCAGUGCUGUAAGUCUGAGUGUUUCACAUUGAAUUAUGUCCCCCUCCAGAAGUCAUAUGUCAAAGCCCGAGCUCCCAACAUGACUGUAUUUGGAGACGGGGCCUUUAGAAAUGUCAUUGAUGUCACAUGUGGUCAUAAGGGUGGGGCCUUAUGCAAUUUGGCUGGUGUCCUUGUAGGAAGAGGGAGAGACCCAAGGAUGCGCGCACACGCGCAGGGAGGUCAGGCCGUGCGAGGAGAUGGCUGUCUCCAAGCCGAGCAGGAGGCCUCUCGAAAGGCAACACUAAAGCACCUUGAUCUUUGACUUUCAGUCUCCAAAACUGUAGAAAAUCAUUUUUGUGUCAUUGUUUAAAUCACCCAGUUUAUGGUAUUUUGUUAUGGCAACCCUAGCAAACUGCUAUACCAAGAAAGUCAUUAUUUUCCCUUACUUCGGAAGAAUGAUUUUUCUGAAUAUAUAGACUCCCUUGGUUGGUGGAUUUUUCUUUCACCACUUUAAAUAUUUCAUUCUACUCUCUUCUUGCUUGCAUGAUUUUUGAAGCAAGUCUGAUGUAAUUCCUGCCUUUGUUCCUCUCUAGAUAAGGUGUUUUUAUCCUUUGACUUUUUAAAAGAUUUUUUUGGUCUUUGGCUUUAUGCAAUUUGAAUAUGAUAUGCCUAGGUGUGUGUGUGUGUGUGUGUGUGUGUGUGUGUAGAUAUAUAUUUGUAUGUAGGUAUGUAUGUAUAUUGGCAUUUAUCCUGCUCAGUGUUCUCUGAGGUUUCUAGAUUUGUGGUGUGGUUUCUGCCAUUAAUUUUAGAAAAAUCCCAGUCAUUAUUAUGUCAAAUAGUUCUGUUUCUUUCUCUUUUCUUCUACUUUGGAUAGUCUCAUGAUACGUAUGCUAUACCUUUUGUAAUUGCCCCACAGCUAUUAGAUAUUCUGUUCCAAUUUUUAUUAUUUUUUAUCUCUUUACAGUUCAGUUUGGGAAGCUUCUAUUGACAUAUCUUCAAGUGCUCUGAUUCUAUCUCCAGCCCUUUCCAAUCAUCUGAUGAUCUAUCAGAUGAUGUAUACUUGAUUUCUGUUUCUAGUCUUUCCUUUAUAUUCUCUCUUAGAGUUUCUAUCUUCAUUUCCAUUACCUGUCUGCUCUUGCAUAUUGUCUACUUCUCCCACUAAAGCCCUCAUCAUAUUAAUCAUACAUAUUUUUAAUUUCCCUGUCUGAUGAUUUCAAAAUCUCUGCCAUGUCUGAAUCUGGUUCUGACACCUGCUUUGUCUCUUCAGGUUUUUUCUUCUUUCCUUUUAUCAUGCCAUGUAGUUUGUUGUUGUUGUUGAAAGCCAGUCGUGAAUUAUCAGGUAUUAGGAAGUAAACAGGCCUUUGGUAUGAUGUUUAUUUUUACGUGGCUAAGAGAUAGGCUAUAUUUACUGUUUCCUGUCUCUGUAGCAUCAGAGGAUUCAGUUUCCACUAGUGUCUUUGUUUUUGUCCCCCAGCAUCUUUCGUUUCCCUAGAAAACAGUUCUACUGUAGAAUUUGAGCCUUACAGUUCUUUACAGCUGUAAUCCACUAUUAUAAGUCAAGAGCCUGUUGAUGUUUGGUCAGGUCUAGACUGAGGACACUCAUUCUAGAAUCCUGGGAUUAGGUCUCAGUCUUUUACUGUACCUGCUGCCCUGGGCUGGGACCUUCUCAGGUGUUUCUCUGCUCCCCUCCCCCCACCUUAUGUGAAGAGGGAAGGCUCAACAGCCUUGAGUUGCUCACUUCCCUUACCCCCAGUCCCAUAAGGUUUCUCCCUCGCUGGGUAAACCUUUGUUGUGGAGAAUGCUCUUGGCUUCUUUCAAGAUAGUUCUUUCUUGCCUCUCCCUGGCCCAACAGGAAGCGGUUUUCCUCUGCUCCUUACCGAGAGGAGCUGCGGAGGAUUCUCGAGGUAGACACCAUCAUUGUGGAGGAGGUGGCUACCUUAGAUGGGUCCCCCAGGAGUUUUCAUCUCUCAAGCUAGUCUGAAGCUGCCGUUCAAGGCCAGCGCCUCCUGCCUCGGGGGUGCAGCAUUAUAGUCCGUGCAGACUGUCAUCUCUGUCAUCGAUGGCUCCUCUAGGAUUAGGGUGCAGUUGGUCCCAUGACCUCCAUUCUCUGAUGUCCCCACCAAGACUCAUUGAUUUUUAAUCUGUUCAUAUUUUUCUUGUUGUGAGGAUGGGAGUCAAGACUUGCAAGCCCUUUAAGUGUUGGUGUAGAAUCUUUCCUUUCGAUUUUAGACAGUGUUUCUGUUAGCUCUUUGGACAUAUUAAAAUAGCUGAUGAAAGUCCUUAUGUAGUAAUUCCAGUGCCUGUGCUUCCUUGGGACAGUUCUAGUUCUAUUGCCUGCUGUCCCCUCCAUACGUUGGACAUUUUGAGUAUUGUAAUGUGGCAACACUGGAAAUGAGAUUCCCUUCCUACAGGGCUUCCUUGUUGCCACCCGUUACAGUUCGUGUUUAUUUAGGACUUCUCUGAAUUAAUUCCGCAAAGACUCUCUUCGUUUUUGUAUAUAGCCACUGAAGCCUUGGUUCAGUUAGCUCAGUGUCGGCUAAUGGCGGACGGAGAUUUCCUUGAGUGCCUGGAACAAAUAAAUCUUGCCAUCAUUUCUGAGAGGCUCAGAAUAUAUUUCUAGGAACAUGUGCAGUUACGACAAUACAGACACUGGAAGAUAAGGUUAUGCUUUUCACCUUUAAAGACUAUCACAGUUUGAUUCUGGAAGUCAGAUGGGGGGCACUGGCGGGCACUGUGUACUCACUCUAGCCAUCGGUAGCAUCUCUUAGGGUUUCUGUACUUCACACUCUUGAUGAAGCUAGAGGCAUGUUGUUGCUCCGCACUCUAAUUGACCAAGCUGGAAAGGGAAGCUUCCUGCCCCAUCCUCAGUUUGCCUGCAGCCCAGGUCCAUGGCGCACCUACCACAUGAGAUCCACUCGAUCUUUCUGCUGGGUAUGAAUUUCCUUCUGGGGCUGAAGAGAAUGUUCUGGAAGUAGAUAGUGAGGUUUGAUGCAAGAAUUUGUAAAUAUACUAGAGACCUCUGAAUCGUACAUUUUAAUAGGGUGAACAUGAUGGUAUGUGCAUUGUCUCUCAGUAACAAUGUUAUUUUACAAAGGAAGAAAUAAUACUGUGGAGAGCAUAAAUCCCUCCAUGUACUCAAAAAAUACCAAUGGACCGGCCACCAUUUGACAUUUCUAGGGACUAGGGACCAACAAUUGAACACAAAUUCUUUCCCUUGUAGGCCAUAUAUUCUGGUAUUAGACGAAAAGCAGUGAGGUAGCUUUUCGCAAUAUCUCUGUAUAAUAUCUUAAGAAGAUAAGCAUGCUCGAGAGUAUCAAAUAAUUUGUUUUACGGCUUCCUAACUGCCCUUCAUGUAUGAUCUAGUCUGUUGUUUCUGCUCAUUAGGGUCCCAAAAGGCAACAAGUAAACUUUUCUCAAAACAAACGUGAUAGCGAAGCUUUAAGCAGAAUUGCCAAAACAUUGAAGGAACCAAGAUGUCCUUCACCAGGUGAACGGCUGAAUAAGCUGUGCUACAUGCAGACAGUGAAAUAUUAUUUAGCAUGAAAAAGAAGUGAGCUAUCAACCCAUGAAAAGACACGGAAGAACAUUAAAUGCAUUACUAAGUAUUUGAAAAGGCUCCAUCCUGUAGAAUUCCAACCAUAGGACAUUCUAGAAAAGACAGAAUUAGGGAGACAUAAAAAGUUCAGUGGUUGCCAAGAGUUGGGGUCAUUGGCAUGGUGAGAAGGCGGAGCACAGGAGUUCCGGGGCCGUGCGACCCUGUUACCGUCCUGGUGGACACGUAGCGGUACUCUUUGUUCACAACCACAGACUAUAAACAUCAAGAGUCCUCUGGUUUCUUCUCCAGACCCCAUGGAGUCUCUCUCCUCCUCACUCCUGAUAUUCAACCACAUGGCGUCUUCUACAAAAUAUGAAACUCUCCUAACUCAGGAUCUUUGCCCAGAACCUUUCAUCUGGCUUACUCGUAUUUAUCCUUCAAGUUCGGCUUUCAUGUUCAUCCAUCUCUUGGAGUAGCCUUUUUUGACCUCACAGCCUCUAUCUGAAUCCAUUGUAUUCUCUCCUUGUACCAUGUCCCCUUAUUGGAUGCACUGACCACCAUCUGUGUAUUUAUUCGUUUACUGUCUGGGCCCCCAGCUGGGUGGCCCGUUUCAUGAGCGUAAGGAAGGCGUCUGCCUUUGUGCACUGAGGUAUUCCCAGCACAUAGCCCAGGGCCCAGCUGGAGUAGGUGCUCAGUGCACCUGCUGACUGUGAACAAAUGAAUGGACUCGGUGAGGUUGGUGUUACUAGCUUAGAGUACUUUAGCCAUUCACCCGCUGCCACGCAGCUAGCAAGUGGACAGAAAUGGAGGAGGCCUCAGAAGUAUAGUUCCUAGGUUACUAUACCAUCUGGGAAAGUAUUUGCUAAGAAAAGAGGGAUGGGGCAUGGAAAGGGCAGUGGAAAGAUUCCAGAACAGUGACUCUCAGGGAGAUGGUCCCAGGUAUGGCGGAUGAGAUGAGAAUGUGCAAGCUGCAUAUUCAGUAUUUUACUUUUGUCGAGAAAUAUCUUCUGUUUUCAUAAAACAGACUGCUGAGACUAUCCUUUCCCCUGGCUCGGAAGGAGAAUAGGAAAUACAGCGCUCUUCCUCUAAAAGGGCAGAUUUUUUUGGUUUUCCAGAAGGAAGCAGGUUUCAAAGUUGAUAGGGAAACCCCCGCCCUAGGGCUUUCUAGCAUUUCCUGAAGCAGAGCAGAGGUCUGCGGGGCAUGGGACCCCUCGCAGAGGGGAAGGUGGGUCUUGGCGACACCCCUCAGGCUUCAUGUUCCCGCCCCACCCCAGACUGCCUGCCCUCCACACCCUGCCUUCUGCCCAUUGCUCAGAGGCCACAUGCCCCUCCACCCGCAGCCCUCCCUUUCACCCGCGUCACCUCCAUGGGCUUAGCAUCUGCCCUCCGCCUGGACUAGGCUGCUUGUCAUUCUCUCUGCUGGGCAGUGAGAGCCCGUGUUUCUCGCUGAGAUUAGUUUCAGUGGCCCUAUGGCCGUCUGUGAAAGGAAGGCUGGGUAGUCCAUGAAUCAAAUCCACAGGCGGACAGUUGAUCUGAAGGGAGAAACCAACGUGGUAUGGCAUAAGGACGGCGGUGGGGACUGUGUUUGGAUGGAUGGCUUUCGUUUCUUUCUCGGCUUGGAUCGUGAGGUGUGUUGUUUUGGCAUGUUGUGGUUUUUUGUCUGUCCACUUGUUAAUAUAUAGGUUAAAAAUAGUCUUUCUGGGAGAGGACCCUUAUUUUUCUAGAGUGAUUUCACACAUUUUUGGUGAGAUGCAGUAGCAUUCCCUUUUCAAAGGACUGAUGGGAAGGGAAGAGUGAGAACAACUUCAUAUGCCAAAGAAACCAGAUAAGGUGUGAAGAGACUGUUCAUCGGCGGCGUUUAAAUCCCCACCUACCGGUUUUGUUUUUAAGAACUUCGCUAGGAAGGAAAUUGACUAAGUCAGUUAGAGCUGGGAGGAACUUUUGAAAAGAACCCAGCUUCUCAUUAUUGUAUAUAUGGAACAAGAGGCCCAGAGAGGGUAUGUAACUUGUCCAAAGUCACAGAGCACUUCAGAGUGGCUGGGGCUGAUUUCUAGUCUGGAGCUCAAGUGGGAAGCAGUAUCUCUUAGUGAAAGGAAAGUCGUGUGAUUUUUAAAGAGUUUCUUCUAUUUUUUGUUAUACGGUUAUUGUAAGAGAAGUUGGAAGAACUUAGUGUUUUAAUUUCUCUGGAGUCCUAACCACUUCAAAAUGAUCAUUGUUAGUAUUUUUGCUGUGUAAUAGUCCAGAUCUUUCAAUGUAUAUGUAUCCUGGCAUAAAUGCUGUAUUUAUUAAAAUUGGAUCACACUGUGCAUACUUCUCUGUAAUGUAAUUCGUAACAGAUGCUUAACUUAUUGUAUUGAGUGAAUGUACCUUCGUUAAUUUAAUCAGUGCCCUAUGAUAGACAUAUAAGCUUUUUCAGAUGUUAAGCUCUUAUAAAAGAUGCUGCAUUAAAGAUUCUUGUUUGUACAUUU